UACGUAGGGUGCGAGCGUUGUCCGGAAUUAUUGGGCGUAAAGGGCUCGUAGGCGGUUUGUCGCGUCGGGAGUGAAAUCCACUGGCUUAACUGGUGGCUUGCUUUCGAUACGGGCAGACUGGAGGUAUGCAGGGGAGAACGGAAUUCCUGGUGUAGCGGUGAAAUGCGCAGAUAUCAGGAGGAACACCGGUGGCGAAGGCGGUUCUCUGGGAGUUACCUGACGCUGAGGAGCGAAAGUGUGGGGAGCGAACAGG
rnacentral:rRNA from 1 species